AAAGUCUUUGGCUAAAGCAAGUGUGAAUACUGAAAAAGAAUUUCUACAGGAUUCACAAAUGAACUUAAGUCAAGCCAAUCUAGCAUAUGACUGAUAAUGGGGUCUGAUGAGUUCUCUAUGACCUCCAUCAAGUCGAGACUCAUGAUAAAAGGACUGAAUCAUAUGAUAACGCACCUAGGAGUUUAUACUUUCAUUCUACUGAGUUACCACUAUAUACUGUUAGGUGUCACUGAUGGAUUGCGAGAUUCAUCGGAUGUCAUCUUGAUGAUCGAUGAACCUCGAAGGGUAGAAUUGAAAAUAUUCCAACCCAUCAAAAAGAGUUUCGAUGAUAUUAUGAUGGAAAUCAUAAUAUAUCUCAUUACCA
rnacentral:lncRNA from 1 species